rnacentral:rRNA from 1 species
UACGGAGGGUGCAAGCGUUGUCCGGAUUUAUUGGGUUUAAAGGGUGCGUAGGCGGGUUAUUAAGUCAGUGGUGAAAGCCUGCAGCUUAACUGCAGAAUUGCCAUUGAUACUGAUGAUCUUGAGUAUGAUUGAGGUGGGCGGAAUGUGUCAUGUAGCGGUGAAAUGCUUAGAUAUGACACAGAACACCGAUUGCGAAGGCAGCUCACUAAGCCAUAACUGACGCUGAUGCACGAAAGCGUGGGGAGCAAACAGG